rnacentral:tRNA from 1 species
GUCGUUUGGCCGAGUGGUUAAGGCGUGGGGCUUCCCCCGCAGCGAGAGUUCAAAUCUCUCAGGCUACA